AUUGAACGCUGGCGGCAGGCCUAACACAUGCAAGUCGAACGAGUGGCGGACGGGUGAGUAAUGUCUGGGAAACUGCCUGAUGGAGGGGGAUAACUACUGGAAACGGUAGCUAAUACCGCAUACCAUCAGAUGUGCCCAGAUGGGAUUAGCUUGUUGGUGGGGUAACGGCUCACCAGGGCGGCGAUCCCUAGCUGGUCUGAGCGGAUGACCACCGACAUUGGAACUGGGACAGGGUCCAGACGCCUGCGGGAGGCAGCAGUGGGGAAUAUUGCACAAUGGGCGGAAGCCUGAUGCAACCAUGCCGCGUGUAUGAAGAAGGCCCUCGGGUUGUAAAGUACUUUCAGCGGUGAGGCGUUACCCGCAGAAGAAGCACCGGCUAACUCCGUGCCAGCAGCCGCGGUAAUUC
rnacentral:rRNA from 1 species